rnacentral:rRNA from 1 species
UUUAGCCAUAUCACCCUGCAGCCCAAGACUGGUUGCCCACUGAAGCUAAGCAGGGCUGAGCCUGGUCGGUACCUGGAUGGGAGACCUCCUGGGAAAACUAGGUUGCUGUUGGAA